rnacentral:rRNA from 1 species
ACUCAAAUGAAUUGACGGGGGCCCGCACAAGCGGUGGAGCAUGUGGUUUAAUUCGAUGCAACGCGAAAAACCUUACCUAGAUUUGACAUCCACUGACAUCCGUAGAAGUACGGCUUUCCCUUCGGGGACAGUGAGACAGGUGCUGCAUGGCUGUCGUCAGCUCGUAUCGUGAGAUGUCGGGUUAAGUCCCUUAACGAGCGCAACCCUUAUCCCUAGUUGCCACCAUUCAGUUGGGCACUCUAUGGAGACCGCCGGUGUUAAACCGGAGGAAGGCGGGGAUGACGUCAAGUCCUCAUGGCCUUUAUAUCUAGGGCUACACACGUGCUACAAUGGACGAUACAGAGGGUAGCCAACCCGCGAGGGGGAGCUAAUCUCAGAAAGUCGUUCUCAGUUCGGAUUGAAGUCUGCAACUCGACUUCAUGAAGCUGGAAUCGCUAGUAAUCGCGGAUCAGCACGCCGCGGUGAAUACGUUCCCGGGCCUUGCACACACCGCCCGU